rnacentral:rRNA from 1 species
UACGGAGGAUCCAAGCGUUAUCCGGAUUUAUUGGGUUUAAAGGGUGCGUAGGCGGCGCGAUAAGUCAGUGGUGAAAGUUUGCGGCUCAACCGUAAAAUUGCCAUUGAUACUGUCGGGCUUGAGUACAGAUGAGGUAGGCGGAAUGUGUCAUGUAGCGGUGAAAUGCAUAGAUAUGACACAGAACACCGAUUGCGAAGGCAGCUUACUAAAGUGUAACUGACGCUGAGGCACGAAAGCGUGGGGAUCAAACAGG